UCCUUGGUGGUCCAGUGGCUAAGACUCCUUACUCCCAAUUAAGGAGGCCCAGGUUCAAUCCCUGGUCAGGGAA